rnacentral:lncRNA from 1 species
CAAGAACUAAUUAUCACAGAAAAGCUGAUAUCUACUGAAAAACUUUUAUUUUCUUUUCAUCAUGUCAAGGAAAUGAUAUUAUCUUUUUUGUUUCACUCUUUACCUUAGACGUCAGAAAGAUCAGGGUAGAAUUUAAUCUUCAAAAGCAAUAGUCACGUUUGCCAGGAUGUCGGGACAAAUAAUUUCCUUUCUUUCAAUAUAAUUUAGAUAAUGUGCUUCUAUUUUGUUAAGGAAAUGGUAUGCUUGUAUUCACUGCAAAAUAUGUUUUGGAAGUAGGUGAAAUAAAAUUUAUGAAUAAAUAACUGAUCUCCUUUUAUACCACCGUGCUGCCUAGCGUAAUUUGUGCAGCACACAUACAACACAUAUUUUGUAUGAUUAAAUCAACCUCAUAUUUGGGUUUCCUGAUAUAAUACAAAUAAAAUACAAAUCAGCAUAAAUGAAAUUAAUUAAAAUUCAACCAAACUUCUUGGAUUUUCAAAUAGGAAAAGUCUCAAGAAGUUAAAUGAACUUCCUGUAAGAAUGUGGAGUUUCAGUUCACAUUUUAUCUGGUAUCUUUUUUCAAAUUUUCCUGCCAAAACUAUUGUAUUAUGCUACAAUUAUCCAGAGGUGCUAUUUUACACUUAGACUAUUAUUUCAGAAGCUCUGCUUCCGAUGUCUAAUAAGGUUUCCACAUAUAACUCCCACACCCCAGAGCUGCCUUCAAAGGUCAUUUCUUCAUCCCGUUCUUUGCCGACAUAAUUGCACCUGCCAGGUGAACUGGAAAACAAGUCCCCAGCGAACACGAUGGACAAACUCCCUUAGGACACUCGUGUGAUGGGAUCCUGCAAUGGAGGAUUGGGAAGAGCACCUUCACCAAAGUGUUUUGUAGAGGUGGAAGGAACACUGAAAUUACUAAAGGUUUCACCAGCUAACACCCACCAGGACUGCAGUAUGCUUAUGUUAGCACAGAAAAUGAUUUUCACCAGAUCAUCAGUUUGCAAAAUAUUGUUAAAGGAACUGCUAACAGGUGUGUGUCAUCCCCAAAGAAUUUGUU